UACGUAGGUGGCAAGCGUUGUCCGGAAUCACUGGGCGUAAAGCGCGCGCAGGCGGCGAUCUACGUCUGGGGUGAAAGCCCGGGGCUCAACCUCGGGACUGCCUUGGAUACGGGAUCGCUUGAGGAUCGGAGAGGCAAGGGGAAUUCCACGUGUAGCGGUGAAAUGCGUAGAGAUGUGGAGGAACACCUGUGGCGAAGGCGCCUUGCUGGCCGAUUUCUGACGCUGAGGCGCGAAAGCGUGGGGAGCAAACAGGAUUAGAAACCCCAGUAGUCC
rnacentral:rRNA from 1 species